GACAGAAGGUGCAAGCGUUACUCGGAAUUACUGGGCGUAAAGCGUCUGUAGGUGUCUUGUCACGUCUUGGGACAAACCGCGGAGCCCAACUCCGCGUUCUUCUUGGAUACGAGCAAGAUUCGAGUCAUUCAGAGGCAUCUGGAAUGUCGUGUGUAGGGGUAAAAUCCGUAGAUACACGAUGGAACGCCAAAAGCGAAAGCAGGAUGCUAGGAAUGCACUGACACUCAGAGACGAAAGCGUGGGGAGCAAAGGGG
rnacentral:rRNA from 1 species